rnacentral:lncRNA from 1 species
CAGCAACAUUCAAUUGCUUCAUUCAUUUUUCUCCUUUGCCAUAUGCAUUGCUCCACAUCAUUUUUUAUUUUUUCUCCAUCUUCCAAAAUUCAUAUCUAAGUGAAUAAUGAUCCAAAAAUUAUGUGGUUUUUUGCAUUGCAUUCCAUUUUCGGUCUAGUAUGUUAUGAACAUUUUUCCAUAAAUUGUGCAUGGCUGGAAAUUGUUUUUGUGCUAGGGAAUGUGAACAUGCAUGUAUUCUUGACCUUGCCUUGCCAUAUCAUUUGUGAAAUGUUGAGAUUUUAUCCAAUGAAUCUGAAAAUUUGCAUGAUGAAACUAGACUUCUUGCUUGACAUUUUGGUGUUGAUUUGGUAUUUUUACCGUUUGUCAUUUCUGUUUUAUGAUCAUGUUAAUGUUGGUGUGACAAUUUGUGUCACACCUUUACUUGUUCAACUUGAUUGAUGAAUUUGCCAUGCCAAAUGUUAUCCAAUUGCCUUGAGUUUUUGUAUGAUGCAUAUUAGGGAUAUUGUGAUUGCUCAUGAUUUUUGUUGGAAUUUUUGGGAUCAUUUCUGAUUUAAUUGAUAUUUUUCAUUCUGGAUGGUCACAUGUGAGCUUUUGGAUUGCCUUGAACUUCAUUUGAUUGUGAAAUGCUUGUUCCUUAUCCAAUGAAUGUGAAAUUUUGCACACUAUUUUUAGACAUGUUGAAUGUUGUUUUGGCUUUGGUUUGAGGUUUUUACGAUGAUCCAGCUCUGUUUUAGGCCUAUGCUAAGUUGGUGUGACAAUUGGUGUCACACAUGAGCUUGUUGUGCUUGCCUUGACUUAUGCUAUGUGAUUGCCAUGCCUAAUGAUGUCCAAUGCCUCUAAUUUUUUGUGUGAUGAUCAUGUUGUAUGUUCUGUUUACUCAUGAAUUUUGCCAAGAUUAUUUGAAUCAUUUUUGAUUUAAUGUGCAUUUGUUCAUUCUGAUGUCACAAUAUGGUCACAAUUUGCAUACCUUGCCAUGUUUGGUUCAUGAAAUGAAUUUGGUUAAGGAUAUUGGUAUGGGACCUUUUGGAUUGUGUUCUUGAUUAAAUGAAGUUGAUUCAUGUUAAAUUUCAUGUUCUGUUUUGAAUGUUUGACCUUCUUUGGACCCUAGGCUUUGACCUAGUGGUUUGUGACUCACAGUUGAGUUUUGAUUUCAGGUUUACACAUCCAAGUCCAUAGUUGAUGAUGCUUCUUCACUUGAGCAUUGAUGUUUGCUCUAGAUGUUGGCUAACCAUGAGUUGUUUUUUAGGUUGAUGCCAAGUCAUUUGUGUUGUGCUUAUUGGCUUGUGGCUUGCACAUUGCUUGCUUAUCUGUCUGAUUGUGUGAUUAACUGUUGUCUGUUUGAUUGUUUGAAUUGUAUACUGAUUGGGUUAGAUUUUUUCAGGUACCUAAGUUGCUUUGAGUUCUUAUUGAACUUGCUUUUGCUUUGCUUGGUUGCUUAACCAUUGAGGUAUAACUCACUGACUUCAUGUAGUCUGGAAGACCUGUCCUAUUAUGUGGGCAGGCACCUGUCUGAAGCCCUCCUUAAGAGGCAAUGCUUGUGUUUGUUUACUUUUGUGCCAAGCAGGAAAAGUCCUCUUAUGAGGCAAUUGGCAGAUAAAAGAGAUGUGCAAUCCAUCUCCUGCUAUUCAGUGCGUCAUUCACUUUGCUCAGACACCUUGUGUUGAUGCAUUGUGGAUAUUAACUCAAGAUCUUUGUUGUGUCAGUCAUAUGUGGAGAAGAGUUCCUACUUUCUGAACUCCCACACUUUCAUUUGUCUGAAGCUCUCCCAGGCCAGGGAUAAGAGCUGUGAGGUCUUAUCCUCACUUCCCAUUUCAUCUGCUUCACCCUAACUCUCAAUGUUAGGGUUAAGAGCUAACUACACCCGAUUCCAGUUGGCUUGUGUUUCACAGCUUAACCUUGUAUGAGCCCAAUUGUUUGCAUAUAGUGUGUGUGCUUGCUUAUUGUACUUGUAUGUAUUUGCCUGUGCUGUUUAGGAUAGCUUGCUCCCUGUGCAAGUUAGAUAGAAACCUUAACAUAGGGAUCGUAGGCAUGACAACUUCUAGGCUCGAGUCGUAGUCUCCCUAGUAGCUUGUUAUCUCCCUUGUCUCUGGUUAGGUUAGAAGUUCUUUCCCUGUUUAGGGGAACUACGUCGCCCUGAUCCUCAUACCAGAUGAGGUACGUAGGCAGGAGAUGAGCUGAUCUCUCCGGGCGCCCUUUUU